CCUACGGGGGGCAGCAGUGAGGAAUAUUGGUCAAUGGGCGGAAGCCUGAACCAGCCAAGUAGCGUGCAGGAUGACGGCCCUACGGGUUGUAAACUGCUUUUAUACGGGAAUAACGCGCCUUACGUGUAGGGCUUUGCAUGUACCGUAUGAAUAAGGUCCGGCUAAUUCCGUGCCAGCAGCCGCGGUAAUACGGAAGGUCCGGGAGUUAUCCGGAUUUAUUGGGUUGAAGGGGAGCGUAGGCCGCAUGUCAAGCGUGCUGUGAAAUGUCCGGGCUCAACCCGGGCCUUGCAGCGCGAACUGGGGUGCUUGAGUCCGCGGAAGGGAGGCGGAAUUCGUCGUGUAGCGGUGAAAUGCUUAGAUAUGACGAAGAACCCCGAUUGCGAAGGCAGCUUGCUGCAGCGGAACUGACGCUGAUGCUCGAAAGCGCGGGUAUCGAACAGGAUUAGAUACCCGAGUAGUC
rnacentral:rRNA from 1 species